UCAUUACCGAGUGAGGGCCCUCUGGGUCCAACCUCCCACCCGUGUUUUCCGAACCCUGUUGCUUCGGCGGGCCCGCCUCACGGCCGCCGGGGGGCUUCUGCCCCCGGGCCCGCGCCCGCCGAAGACACCUGUGAACGCUGUCUGAAGUUGCAGUCUGAGAAACUAGCUAAAUUAGUUAAAACUUUCAACAACGGAUCUCUUGGUUCCGGCAUCGAUGAAGAACGCAGCGAAAUGCGAUAACUAAUGUGAAUUGCAGAAUUCAGUGAAUCAUCGAGUCUUUGAACGCACAUUGCGCCCUCUGGUAUUCCGGAGGGCAUGCCUGUCCGAGCGUCAUUGCUGCCCUCAAGCACGGCUUGUGUGUUGGGCCCCCGCCCCCCCGCACCGGGGGGGGCGGGCCCGAAAGGCAGCGGCGGCACCGCGUCCGGUCCUCGAGCGUAUGGGGCUUCGUCACCCGCUCUUGUAGGCCCGGCCGGCGCCAGCCGACCCCCCUCAAUCUAUUUUUUCAGGUUGACCUC
rnacentral:misc_RNA from 2 species